rnacentral:tRNA from 1 species
AUCUUUCUAGUAUUAAGUUAGUACACAUGACUUCCAAUCAUUUAGUCUUGGUUAAAAUCCAAGGAAAGAUA